rnacentral:rRNA from 1 species
AUUGAACGCUGGCGGCAGGCCUAACACAUGCAAGUCGAACGAGUGGCGGACGGGUGCGUAAUGCCUGGGAAACUGCCCGAUGGAGGGGGUUAACUCCUGGAAAAGGUAGCUAAUACCGCAUACAAUCGGAUGUGCCCGAAUGGGAUUAGCUAGGAGGGGGGGUAACGGCUAACCUAGGCGACGAUCCCUAGCUGGUCUGAGAGGAUGACCAGCCACACUGGAACGGAGACACGGUCCAGCCUCCUACGGGAGGCAGCAGUGGGGAAUAUUGCACAAUGGGCGCAAGCCUGAUGCAGCCAUGCCGCGUGUAUGAAGAAGGCCUUCGGGUUGUAAAGUACUUUCAGCGAGGAGGCGUUACUCGCAGAAGAAGCACCGGCUAACUCCGUGCCAGCAGCCGCGGUAAUAC